rnacentral:rRNA from 1 species
AACAGGAUUAGAUACCCUGGUAGUCCACGCCGUAAACGAUGUCGACUUGGAGGUUGUUCCCUUGAGGAGUGGCUUCCGGAGCUAACGCGUUAAGUCGACCGCCUGGGGAGUACGGCCGCAAGGUUAAAACUCAAAUGAAUUGACGGGGGCCCGCACAAGCGGUGGAGCAUGUGGUUUAAUUCGAUGCAACGCGAAGAACCUUACCUACUCUUGACAUCCAGAGAACUUAGCAGAGAUGCUUUGGUGCCUUCGGGAACUCUGAGACAGGUGCUGCAUGGCUGUCGUCAGCUCGUGUUGUGAAAUGUUGGGUUAAGUCCCGCAACGAGCGCAACCCUUAUCCUUUGUUGCCAGCGGUUCGGCCGGGAACUCAAGGGAGACUGCCAGUGAUAAACUGGGGGAAGGUGGGGAUGACGUCAAGUCAUCAUGGCCCUUACGAGUAGGGCUACACACGUGCUACAAUGGCGCAUACAAAGAGAAGCGACCUCGCGAGAGCAAGCGGACCUCAUAAAGUGCGUCGUAGUCCGGAUCGGAGUCUGCAACUCGACUCCGUGAAGUCGGAAUCGCUAGUAAUCGUAGAUCAGAAUGCUACGGUGAAUACGUUCCCGGGCCUUGUACACACCGCCCGUCACACCAUGGGAGUGGGUUGCAAAAGAAGUAGGUAGCUUAACCUUCGGGAGGGCGCUUACCACUUUGUGAUUCAUGACUGGGGUGAAGUCGUAACAAGGUAACC